rnacentral:rRNA from 1 species
GAUGAACGCUGGCGGCGUGCCUAACACAUGCAAGUCGAACGGAAAGGCGCUGCGCUUGCGGGGCGGUCGAGUGGCGAACGGGUGAGUAACACGCGAGUAACCCGCACCUGUCUGUGGGGUAACACUAGGGAAAUGGGGCGAAUACCGGGGAGGAGAUCCUGCAGCACGGGGGGGGAUGGAGAGUUACGGCGGUUGGGGCUGGACUCGCAGCUUACCAGCUUGAUGGGGGGGUAGUGGCUUACCACGGCUUUGACGGGUAGCCGGCCUGAGAGGGUGACCGGCCACAUUGGGCCUGAGAUACGGCCCAGUCUCCUACGGGACGCAGCGGUGGGGAAUAUUGCACAAUGGGCGGACGCCUGAUGCAACAGCGCCGCGUGCGGGAUGACGUCCUUCUGGUUGUGAACCACUUUCGCCUGUGCCGAGGCGUGAGUGACGGUAAUGGGUCAAGAAGCACCGGCUAACUACGUG